AAAAUAUUUUAAAGCAGUAAAUGCAGUCAGUACAGAGAGAUCCCUGGGAGCCUUUCUAUUCAAAAAUGUGUGAGCUCAGGGCAGCGACUGCAAUGUAAUUUAGGGCAGUGUAUGCUUCAUAGCUUUGGAGAAUAUUGCUUCCCACUAAUGUUCCAUCAGAGGAUGGUAGGAUAGUAGUAAUUUUAGAAGGUGGUAUUCCUGUUUGUCUUACAUCGAAAACUUCAGAAUAAAUAAAAGGACAUAUCAACUGAGCAAGAAAUGUAACUAUGGAAAAGUACCAAUGAAUCUAAAUUUGAACUGAACAGAUACAAAAUCAGCAUGGGUGUAGGAAUAUUUUUAAGGAGGAAGCUACAGCAAAAGCGACUUCCCAGGGAAUGGACCUCACAGAUGCCAAGGCAUCCUACAAGAUGUUUUGUGUUUCUUCUGUUAAUUUAAAAAAAAAGAAGAAGAAGAAGAAGAAAGCCAGAUGUGGUGGAGGCUUUUUAAUCAGUCUGCAGUGUGAAGACAUACUUCAAGAGGAUCCUUAG
rnacentral:lncRNA from 1 species